rnacentral:lncRNA from 1 species
AAAGGAAUGAAACCAGAAUAUGAGAAAUCGACCAAAGCUCGAUUUCUGGCAGAAUACAAGAGGCACAUUGAACAAAUGAUUCAAACUAUCAAUCGUGCUCCAAUUUACUCAGAAAUAUAUCAUUGGAUUAUACUUUCAGAUAAGACAAGCUUCAUAUGAAUUGAACUGUCCAACAGAGAGAGUUACAAAUAGUUUGGUAAACAAGGGUCGCA